CCUAGUUCUUGGGGUAGCUGAAUGGACAUAAAACAAUGCUUAAAGACUAAGUAAAAUUCGGCUAGAAAAUCCUAGAAUAAACUAGAAGACGAUCAUUAAGUGACUAAGCCUAAAUUCAACUACUUGGAACGCCAAUGGGCAUGCUUUGUGGAGAAGAAAUUCGGCUAAAUCAAUGUGAAGCAUGGAAGCUUAACAACCAUGUCUAGAUUCGGCUAAGGAGAGGAUGAAUGGAAACCUUCAUGCAUGCUUUUUGGCCGAAUGGUCACUUAGAAAAUAUCAACCAACAUAUGUCCAUCGGUCUCCACG
rnacentral:lncRNA from 1 species